rnacentral:lncRNA from 1 species
AUGGAUAAUGAGAUUUAUUUGAAAAAUCGUAAAUCCCUCUAUAAUGCCAAGCUCUUUCAAAAGAAAGUGCAUCAAGUCUUAACCCAAUUAUGUGACAAAGUUGUUCGUGGAUCGCUGCAUGCUCAUGGGCAGCUAAAAGUAUCAGAAAAAAGGACGGUUCAUGGUGCAGUUGAAUGCACUGGGGAUCUUUUUGAUGUAGAUUGCAAGAAUUGUAUCUGUGGGAGCAAAUAUUUUUGUCUUCAAUCACAGCACGCCACGUGAAAAAGAAGAUUAUCUAUUUAAUCAAUUAAUUAAACUAGUUUAUCAGGCUAAUUAAUUAAUUGGGAUAAAUAUCUUAAUUAAUAUAAUAUUAUCUUUAUUUAAAAAGAUAAUAUCAUUAAUUCAGAUAUUAUCCUAAUAAAGAGAAGAUAAUAUCAUUUAAUUCAGAUAUCUUCUUAAAAAGAGAUAAUAUCAUUAAUUCAGAUAUUAUCAAGUCCGACUCGAUCCUUACGAACUUGGGUAGAGAAUAAACUCAACAUAUUCUCUACGAAACCCUUGCCCCGAGGCUCCUAUAAAUAGACGACCUCAUUCAUCAUUCAAGGUACAUGGCCUUGGGCCAACACCUCCAGGUGUGGUCUAUUUUUUUUUACAGGAAAAGAGGAAGAGAGAGAAGGAAUGUCAAAGGUUGAGAGAUCUAGAAGCGAAUAUUCUCCCGUUAGAUUAUUUGCGCAAACAGUAUCAAUGCUGCCAUAAGAGAACUUCUAGAUUAUAGUUCUAAGAUGGAAAGUGGACGUGCUACUUGGAGUUGUUAUAUCAGAUAUGAACUUUACCACUUUUACAAGUACGCACUUGUUUAA